rnacentral:rRNA from 1 species
GACGAACGCUGGCGGCGUGCUUAACACAUGCAAGUCGAACGGAAAGGCCCUGCUUUUGUGGGGUGCUCGAGUGGCGAACGGGUGAGUAACACGUGAGUAACCUGCCCUUGACUUUGGGAUAACUUCAGGAAACUGGGGCUAAUACCGGAUAGGAGCUCCUGCUGCAUGGUGGGGGUUGGAAAGUUUCGGCGGUUGGUGAUGGACUCGCGGCUUAUCAGCUUGUUGGUGGGGUAGUGGCUUACCAAGGCUUUGACGGGUAGCCGGCCUGAGAGGGUGACCGGCCACAUUGGGACUGAGAUACGGCCCAGACUCCUACGGGAGACAGCAGUGGGGAAUAUUGCACAAUGGGCGGAAGCCUGAUGCAGCAACGCCGCGUGCGGGAUGACGGCCUUCGGGUUGUAAACCGCUUUCGCCUGUGACGAAGCGUGAGUGACGGUAAUGGGUAAAGAAGCACCGGCUAACUACGUG